CCUACGGGAGGCAGCAGUGGGGGAUAUUGGACAAUGGGGGAAACCCUGAUCCAGCGACGCCGCGUGAGUGAAGAAGUAUUUCGGUAUGUAAAGCUCCAUCAGCAGGGAAGAAAGAAAUGACGGUACCUGAGUAAGAAGCCUCGGCUAACUACGUGCCAGCAGGCUCGGGAAUACGUCGGGGGCAAGCGUUAUCCGGAAUUACUGGGUGUAAAGGGAGCGUAGGGGGUAAUGCAAGUCUGGAGGGAAAGGCGGGGGGCCAAACCCCGGACUGCCGUGGAAACUGUGUAACUGGAGUGCAGGAGAGGCAGGCGGAAUGCCUAGUGUAGCGGUGAAAUGCAUAGAUAUCAGGAAGAACACCAGUGGCGAAGGCAGCCUGCUGGACUGUAACUGACGUUGAGGCACGAAAGCGUGGGGAGCGAACAGGAUUAGAUACCCUAGUAGUC
rnacentral:rRNA from 1 species